AAAACUAACCCAAUGAUGUUAUAUUCAUAUGUUAGACUAAUGAAAUGAUUUGAUUGUAAAUUAGUAACUGAGCUUUU